rnacentral:rRNA from 1 species
UCGAGAAUCUUUCGCAAUGCCCGAAAGGGUGACGAAGCGACGCCGCGUGCGGGAGGAAGGCCUUCGGGUUGUAAACCGCUGUCGGGAGUUAAGAAAUGCAAGGAUGUUAAUAGCGUUCUUGCUUGACUAAGGCUCCGGAGGAAGCCACGGCUAACUCUGUGCCAGCAGCCGCGGUAAUACAGAGGCGGCAAGCGUUGUUCGGAAUUAUUGGGCGUAAAGAGCACGUAGGCGGCUGUGUAAGUCGGUUGUGAAAGCCUUCCGCUCAACGGAAGAACGGCAUCCGAUACUGCAUGGCUUGAGUGUGGGAGGGGAGAGUGGAACUUCUGGUGGAGCGGUGAAAUGCGUAGAUAUCAGAAGGAACACCGGCGGCGAAGGCGACUCUCUGGUCCAUAACUGACGCUGAGUGUGCGAAAGCUAGGGGAGCAAACGGGAUUAGAUACCCUAGUCCCUGAGCGGGCUGGCAAGGCGCAU